UACGUGAGGGGCAAGGCGUUGUCCGGACUUACUGGCGUAAAGGCGCGAUGCAGGCGGAUUGGUAUGUGCCGUGUGAAAGCUCCGAGCUUGCCUGGGAGAGGUCGCGGUAGACAGCCUGAUCUGGAGGCUCGGAGAGGUCAGUGGAAUUCCCGGUGUAGUGGUGAAAUGCGUAGAUAUCGGGAGGAACACCAGUGGCGACAAGCGGCUGGACUGGACCGAG
rnacentral:rRNA from 1 species